UCGCUUGUAGGGAAUCACGGGUAAAACC
rnacentral:sRNA from 1 species